GAUGAAGAACGUAGUGAAAUGCGAUAAGUAAUGUGAAUUGCAGAAUUCAGUGAAUCAUCGAAUCUUUGAACGCACCUUGCGCCCUUUGGCUAUUCCGAAGGGCAUGCCUGUUUGAGUAUCAUGAACACCUCAACUCCUCAUGGCUUGCCAUGAUGAGCUUGGACUUGGGGGUCUUGCUGGCCUGUGGUCAGCUCCCCUCAAAUGAAUCAGCUUGCCAGUGAUUGGUGGCACCACAGGUGUGAUAAACAUCUACGCUUGUGGUUCCCCACCAUGUAACCUUUAGCGAUAGAGGUUCGCUGGAGCUCACAAAUGUCUUUCCUCAGUGAAGACAGCUCUUUGAUUGUUUGAUCUCAAAUCAGGUAGGACUACCCGCUGAACUUAAGCAUAUCAAUAAGCGGAGGA
rnacentral:misc_RNA from 1 species